UAGUCCACGCCGUAAACGAUGUCUACUAGCUGUAGGGGUACUUGAGACCUUUGUAGCGCAGCUAACGCACUAAGUAGACCGCCUGGGGAGUACGGCCGCAAGGGUGAAACUCAAAGGAAUUGACAGGGGCCCGCACAAGCGGUGGAGCAUGUGGUUUAAUUCGAUGAUACGCGAGGAACCUUACCAGGGUUUAAAUGCAGAACGACAGGGGUGGAAACACCCCCUUCUUCGGACGGACUGCAAGGUGCUGCAUGGUUGUCGUCAGCUCGUGCUGUGAAGUGUCGGGUUAAGUCCCAUAACGAGCGCAACCCCCAUUUCUAGUUGCCAGCGGUUCGGCCGGGGACUCUAGAGAAACUGCCAGCGUAAGCUGUGAGGAAGGUGGGGAUGACGUCAAAUCAUCACGGCCCUUACAUCCUGGGCCACACACGUGCUACAAUGGUGGGGACAACAGGUUGCCAACCCGCGAGGGUGAGCCAAUCCCAAAACCCCAUCUCAGUUCGGAUCGGAGUCUGCAACUCGACU
rnacentral:rRNA from 1 species